AACGAACGCUGGCGGCAGGCUUAACACAUGCAAGUCGAGCGCCCCGCCAGGGGAGCGGCAGCCGGGUGAGUAACGCGUGGGAACGUACCUUUUGGUUCGGAACAACUCCGGGAAACUGGAGCUAAUACCGGAUAAGCCCUAACGGGGAAAGAUUUAUCGCCGAAAGAUCGGCCCGCGUCUGAUUAGCUAGUUGGUGAGGUAACGGCUCACCAAGGCGACGAUCAGUAGCUGGUCUGAGAGGAUGAUCAGCCACACUGGGACUGAGACACGGCCCAGACUCCUACGGGAGGGAGCAGUGGGGAAUAUUGGACAAUGGGCGCAAGCCUGAUCCAGCCAUGCCGCGUGAGUGAUGAAGGCCUUAGGGUUGUAAAGCUCUUUUGUCCGGGAAGAUAAUGACUGUACCGGAAGAAUAAGCCCCGGCUAACUUCGUG
rnacentral:rRNA from 1 species